GGGUUGUGAGGUUAAGCGACUAAGCGUACACGGUGGAUGCCCUGGCAGUCAGAGGCGAUGAAGGACGUGCUAAUCUGCGAAAAGCGUCGGUAAGGUGAUAUGAACCGUUAUAGCCGGCGAUGUCCGAAUGGGGAAACCCAGUGCAAUUCGUUGCACUAUCGUUUGAUGAAUACAUAGUCAAACGAGGCGAACCGGGGGAACUGAAACAUCUAAGUACCCCGAGGAAAAGAAAUCAACCGAGAUUCCCCCAGUAGCGGCGAGCGAACGGGGAGCAGCCCGGAGUCUGAAUCAGCUUGUGUGUUAGUGGAAGCGUCUGGAAAGUCGCAGGGUACAGGGUGAUACUCCCGUACACUAAAACACACAGGCUGUGAACUCGAAGAGUAGGGCGGGACACGUGGUAUCCUGUCUGAAUAUGGGGGGACCAUCCUCCAAGGCUAAAUACUCCUGACUGACCGAUAGUGAACCAGUACCGUGAGGGAAAGGCGAAAAGAACCCCGGCGAGGGGAGUGAAAAAGAACCUGAAACCGUGUACGUACAAGCAGUAGGAGCCUCUUUAUGGGGUGACUGCGUACCUUUUGUAUAAUGGGUCAGCGACUUAUAUUCUGUAGCAAGGUUAACCGUAUAGGGGAGCCGCAGGGAAACCGAGUCUUAACUGGGCGUUAAGUUGCAGGGUAUAGACCCGAAACCCGGUGAUCUAGCCAUGGGCAGGUUGAAGGUUGGGUAACACUAACUGGAGGACCGAACCGACUAAUGUUGAAAAAUUAGCGGAUGACUUGUGGCUGGGGGUGAAAGGCCAAUCAAACCGGGAGAUAGCUGGUUCUCCCCGAAAGCUAUUUAGGUAGCGCCUCGUGAACUCAUCUUCGGGGGUAGAGCACUGUUUCGGCUAGGGGGUCAUCCCGACUUACCAACCCGAUGCAAACUACGAAUACCGAAGAAUGUUAUCACGGGAGACACACGGCGGGUGCUAACGUCCGUCGUGAAGAGGGAAACAACCCAGACCGCCAGCUAAGGUCCCAAAGUCAUGGUUAAGUGGGAAACGAUGUGGGAAGGCCCAGACAGCCAGGAUGUUGGCUUAGAAGCAGCCAUCAUUUAAAGAAAGCGUAAUAGCUCACUGGUCGAGUCGGCCUGCGCGGAAGAUGUAACGGGGCUAAACCAUGCACCGAAGCUGCGGCAGCGACACUAUGUGUUGUUGGGUAGGGGAGCGUUCUGUAAGCCGUUGAAGGUGGCCUGUGAGGGUUGCUGGAGGUAUCAGAAGUGCGAAUGCUGACAUAAGUAACGAUAAUGCGGGUGAAAAACCCGCACGCCGGAAGACCAAGGGUUCCUGUCCAACGUUAAUCGGGGCAGGGUGAGUCGACCCCUAAGGCGAGGCCGAAAGGCGUAGUCGAUGGGAAACAGGUUAAUAUUCCUGUACUCGGUGUUACUGCGAAGGGGGGACGGAGAAGGCUAUGUUGGCCGGGCGACGGUUGUCCCGGUUUAAGCAUGUAGGCGGAUGUUCCAGGUAAAUCCGGAACGUUAUUAACGCUGAGGUGUGAUGACGAGGCACUACGGUGCUGAAGUGACAAAUGCCCUGCUUCCAGGAAAAGCCUCUAAGCAUCAGGUAACAUCAAAUCGUACCCCAAACCGACACAGGUGGUCAGGUAGAGAAUACCAAGGCGCUUGAGAGAACUCGGGUGAAGGAACUAGGCAAAAUGGUGCCGUAACUUCGGGAGAAGGCACGCUGAUGGUAAGUGAAGUGACUUGCUCAUGGAGCUGAAAUCAGUCGAAGAUACCAGCUGGCUGCAACUGUUUAUUAAAAACACAGCACUGUGCAAACACGAAAGUGGACGUAUACGGUGUGACGCCUGCCCGGUGCCGGAAGGUUAAUUGAUGGGGUUAUCCGUAAGGAGAAGCUCUUGAUCGAAGCCCCGGUAAACGGCGGCCGUAACUAUAACGGUCCUAAGGUAGCGAAAUUCCUUGUCGGGUAAGUUCCGACCUGCACGAAUGGCGUAAUGAUGGCCAGGCUGUCUCCACCCGAGACUCAGUGAAAUUGAACUCGCUGUGAAGAUGCAGUGUACCCGCGGCAAGACGGAAAGACCCCGUGAACCUUUACUAUAGCUUGACACUGAACACUGGUCCUUGAUGUGUAGGAUAGGUGGGAGGCUUUGAAGUGUGGACGCCAGUCUGCAUGGAGCCAUCCUUGAAAUACCACCCUUUAAUGGCUGGUGUUCUAACGUGGGCCCGUUAUCCGGGUUGCGGACAGUGUCUGGUGGGUAGUUUGACUGGGGCGGUCUCCUCCUAAAGAGUAACGGAGGAGCACGAAGGUCAGCUAAUCCUGGUCGGACAUCAGGAGGUUAGUGCAAUGGCAUAAGCUGGCUUGACUGCGAGCGUGACGGCGCGAGCAGGUGCGAAAGCAGGUCAUAGUGAUCCGGUGGUUCUGAAUGGAAGGGCCAUCGCUCAACGGAUAAAAGGUACUCCGGGGAUAACAGGCUGAUACCGCCCAAGAGUUCAUAUCGACGGCGGUGUUUGGCACCUCGAUGUCGGCUCAUCACAUCCUGGGGCUGAAGUAGGUCCCAAGGGUAUGGCUGUUCGCCAUUUAAAGUGGUACGCGAGCUGGGUUUAGAACGUCGUGAGACAGUUCGGUCCCUAUCUGCCGUGGGCGCUGGAGAAUUGAGGGGGGCUGCUCCUAGUACGAGAGGACCGGAGUGGACGCAUCACUGGUGUUCGGGUUGUCAUGCCAAUGGCAUUGCCCGGUAGCUAAAUGCGGAAGAGAUAAGUGCUGAAAGCAUCUAAGCACGAAACUUGCCCCGAGAUGAGUUCUCCCUGACUCCUUGAGAGUCCUGAAGGAACGUUGAAGACGACGACGUUGAUAGGCCGGGUGUGUAAGCGCAGCGAUGCGUUGAGCUAACCGGUACUAAUGAACCGUGAGGCUUAACCUUACAACGCCGAAG
rnacentral:rRNA from 1 species